GAAAGACAAUAAUUAUUAAAAUGAAAUGUUCACUGAUUUGACACAUACAGCAGAAAAUGAUCUAAUGUUCAUAGAGUUUGCCUGAACUGAAUCCCACAACCUGAACAAAAAAGUGAGCACAGGCCUGCUGAUAACAAGAGUUCCAGCAGAAGCUGUGGAAGACUGAAAAAUGGCCCCAAAGAUACACAGAUACAUGAGAGAGACAGAAGAAGGAGGAGGAAGAAAAAGAGAAGGAAGAGGAGGAGGAAGAGGAGCAGUGAUGAGGU
rnacentral:lncRNA from 1 species